GAGCAUGAGUGGGGCUUGUCGUGUCUUUGAACGACUUCAAGGUCCUGUAAAAGCGAAAAAAAAUGAACAAUUCUGAACAUCGGAAACACGUUGGCCUUUCAAUACGAAAAGGUCCAUUUCUCGGUGUAUCGAAAGAAAAGGCUCCUAAUCAGAAGAAACCGGUCCAUGUCCUUUGAAUUCGAGGUCUGAUUUCAGUAAACGGUUUCGUCAACAUUUAUCUCUUCGACAAAUUUCACCCAAGGUUGCUUUGAUUCAAAACACGGCAAUUGUGAUCCUGGGAUAUAACUCUUUGCCAUACGUAGUAGAUCCUCGGAGAAACGUAAGUAACUCAAUCAUGAACGUGAGCCAAAGCAAUGACAACUUACUUGCAGACCCAAUUAGCAUAACCAAUGCUCGCCUCUGGCUCAUUUCCCAGAAAACAGGCGUGCCUGAAUAAGUCCAUGGCCUCUGAAUCAUAACCCGUGGUCUCCGCCAACAAUGCUUGUCCAACCCAGCCUCGAAGAUAACUUGGAUCGUGGUUCUGAGCUUCUUGGAACGAUUUGUUGGCGAGUUCGUGUUCCCUAGAAGAAAUGGGAACAAAUCUAGAGAUGAGAGGACGAAGACACAUGGGCGCUCAUCACAAAACUAGUCUCAUGACUAGGGGUGCACCUUUCAUGCAAAUACACUUUUUGCCACUUUUCUUCAUUCAGUGGCAUUGUUUGGAGUUUUUUAUGGUUUUUUUUCGUACGUUGCAUUUCUUAAAUGCCACUUUUUGCAAAUUAAUGCCUCAGACUUGAGGAUGAGAGCCUAGCAAUUACAGGGGACAUUUUGAGAAUUUUUUUGGCUGUUCAUUGCGCAUGGGAUACUUAUGCAUGUUUGAUGUUAAAGUGUUCGGAAACUCGUUUGCUUAUCAUUACACUUUUUUCUUUCAUGAAAUAAAUUUUGAGGGCGAUGUUGCCUUUUCAACCCUUGAA